AGAGUUUGAUCCUGGCUCAGGACGAACGCUGGCGGCGUGCUUAACACAUGCAAGUCGAGCGGAAGGCUCCUUCGGGGGUACUCGAGCGGCGAACGGGUGAGUAACACGUGAGUAAUCUGCCCUUCACUUGGGGAUAACCUCCGGAAACGGUGGCUAAUACCCGAUAUGACGCAGGUCCGCAUGGGCUCUGUGUGGAAAGUUUUUUCGGUGGGGGAUGUACUCGCGGCCUAUCAGCUUGUUGGUGGGGUAAUGGCCUACCAAGGCUUCGACGGGUAGCCGGCCUGAGAGGGUGACCGGCCACACUGGGACUGAGACACGGCCCAGACUCCUACGGGAGGCAGCAGUGGGGAAUAUUGGACAAUGGGCGGAAGCCUGAUCCAGCAACGCCGCGUGAGGGAUGACGGCCUUCGGGUUGUAAACCUCUUUCACCGAUGACGAAGCGCAAGUGACGGUAGUCGGAGAAGAAGCACCGGCCAACUACGUGCCAGCAGCCGCGGUAAUACGUAGGGUGCGAGCGUUGUCCGGAAUUAUUGGGCGUAAAGGGCUCGUAGGCGGUUUGUCGCGUCGGGAGUGAAAACACCGGGCUUAACUCGGUGCUUGCUUUCGAUACGGGCAGACUAGAGGUAUGCAGGGGAGAACGGAAUUCCUGGUGUAGCGGUGAAAUGCGCAGAUAUCAGGAGGAACACCGGUGGCGAAGGCGGUUCUCUGGGCAUGACCUGACGCUGAGGAGCGAAAGUGUGGGGAGCGAACAGGAUUAGAUACCCUAGUAGUCC
rnacentral:rRNA from 1 species